GACCUCAAAUCAGGUAGGACUACCCGCUGAACUUAAGCAUAUCAAUAAGCGGAGGAAGAGAAACUAACAAGGAUUCCCCUAGUAGCGGCGAGCGAACCGGGAUGAGCUCAAAUUUGUAAUCUGGCGUCCAACGGUCGUCCGAGUUGUAAUCUAUAGAAACGCUUUCCGUGCCGGAUCGUGUCCAAGUCCCUUGGAACAGGGUAUCAAAGAGGGUGACAAUCCCGUGCUUGACACGACGACCGGUGCUCUGUGAUGCGUUUUCUACGAGUCGAGUUGUUUGGGAAUGCAGCUCAAAAUGGGUGGUAAAUUCCAUCUAAAGCUAAAUAUUGGCGAGAGACCGAUAGCGAACAAGUACCGUGAGGGAAAGAUGAAAAGCACUUUGGAAAGAGAGUUAAACAGUAUGUGAAAUUGUUGAAAGGGAAACGAUUGAAGUCAGUCGUGUCGGGAAGGCUCAGCCGGUAAUGCGGUUCACUCCUCCCCGACGGGUCAACAUCAGUUUUGACCGGCGGAUAAUGGCUGUAGGAAGGUAGCACCCUCGGGUGUGUUAUAGCCUGCUGUCGCAUACGUCGGUUGAGACUGAGGAAUGCAGCUCGCCCUCACGGGCCGGGGUUCGCCCACGUCCGAGCUUAGGAUGUUGACGUAAUGGCUUUAAACGACCCGUCUUGAAACACGGACCAAGGAGUCUAACAUAUCUGCGAGUGUUUGGGUGUCAAACCCGGGCGCGCAAUGAAAGUGAACGUAGGAGGGAUGCGCAAGCAGCACCUUUGACCGAUCUGGAUCUUCUGUGAUGGAUUUGAGUAAGAGCAUAUAUGCUGGGACCCGAAAGAUGGUGAACUAUGCCUGAAUAGGGCGAAGCCAGGGGAAACUCUGGUGGAGGCUCGUAGCGAUUCUGACGUGCAAAUCGAUCGUCAAAUUUGGGUAUAGGGGCGAAAGACUAAUCGAACCAUCUAGUAG
rnacentral:rRNA from 1 species